AGGUCAUAAAAAGGUGUGGCGUCUUUCACACAAACGCAACUCUCUCCGCGGAUUCCAUGUCCUCGCGAACACGUUCUCCAGAAUGAAUCAGAACGAAAAGAUGAUGAAUAAUCAACGGUUCCAACAUCAACCUUAAUCCCGAAAUUACCUAUCGUUCAUCAUUUUCUCGUUUCAUCUUCGUGCAUGCAGGAUUGUCAUUGAUAAUUAAAGGAAAAAAAACCCACUGAAUCAACGUUUCGACGUGAACAGUGUGUUAUUGUUCGUCUUUUCAGCGAGUGAAAAAAUCGUUGCGAGGAAUUGUGUGAUGAACCGUUGAUUGAGCACGAGGUUGAGGGUUGAAAGAAUGGACUUGUGAAUCUCUCUCUGAUGAAGAUUGCAAGGUGCACUGUGAAAGAUGAACUGAACCUCUUCUUCUCUGUAAUUUCUGUUACGUUUGGAUCCUCCCCUUUAUUCUGAGAUCAUAUACGGUCGUAAAUGCCUCAUAUAGAUGUCCAUGUGCUAUCGUUAAUUGUUGUUGUUGGUAAUGGCAAUCAUGCGUAUGAAACGGGAGAUAUUGUGCAAACACCUAAGGCUGUGCCACCAAUUGUUGUGGCUGAUCUUGUGCUCGAUGUUCGGCUGUGAUGGAAGCAGUUCUUCCUUUAGUGGUUCAUUAAGGUUCAUGGCUCCGAAAAUCUCUAACUCUUGAAUUGCCGCAAGUGCAGUGACUGGACUUUCAUGGUCAAAUGUGGUUUAAUAACAACCAGAGGUUCUCUGAUUUUUCCUUUGAAGUAUUCAAGUUUCCUACCAAAAUCAACUUCAUUAGCAGCAUUUUAUGAAGUACCGGCUGUAGCAAGUGUCUUCUUGAACAAGGUAUUUGGACCAAUUAUGCUUAACCGUGUUUGGCCCUUUCAUGGAGUAAUGGAUCAAAGCUUAGGAUUUAUGGUUUUUGAUCAUGCUAUUUAAGGGUUUGAAUUGGACAUUUGUAACUUGGUUGUAAUUUGAACUAUAUAUGUUGUAUGAAUGUAUUAGAAUAUGGAUUGGAAUGUAUGCAAUUGGAUUAUGGUGUAAUAUGGGAAAUGUCUUAUUUAAAAAAUGGUUAUGUAAAGUUUGGAUUUGCAAAGUGAACAUGGAUUGAAUCAUGAAAUGUACAUGAGUAUUUUUCUU